rnacentral:rRNA from 1 species
GAUGAACGCUGGCGGCGUGCCUAAUACAUGCAAGUCGAGCGAACGGACGAGAAGCUUGCUUUUCUGAUGUUAGCGGCGGACGGGUGAGUAACACGUGGAUAACCUACCUAUAAGACUGGGAUAACUUCGGGAAACCGGAGCUAAUACCGGAUAAUAUUUUGAACCGCAUGGUUCAAAAGUGAAAGACGGUCUUUCUGUCACUUAUAGAUGGAUCCGCGCUGCAUUAGCUAGUUGGUAAGGUAACGGCUUACCAAGGCAACGAUGCAUAGCCGACCUGAGAGGGUGAUCGGCCACACUGGAACUGAGACACGGUCCAGACUCCUACGGGAGGCAGCAGUAGGGAAUCUUACGCAAAGGGCGAAAGCCUGACGGAGCAACGCCGCGUGAGUGAUGAAGGUCUUCGGAUCGUAAAACUCUGUUAUUAGGGAAGAACAUAUGUGUAAGUAACUGUGCACAUCUUGACGGUACCUAAUCAGAAAGCCACGGCUAACUACGUG